rnacentral:rRNA from 1 species
AGAGUCCACAUCGACGGGGAGGUUUGGCACCUCGAUGUCGGCUCAUCACAUCCUGGGGCUGUAGUAGGUCCCAAGGGUUGGGCUGUUCGCCCAUUAAAGUGGUACGCGAGCUGGGUUCCGAACGUCGUGAGACAGUUCGGUCCCUAUCCGGCGCAGGCGUAGGAAAUUUGAGAAGACCUGUCCUUAGUACGAGAGGACCGUGAUGGACGUACCUCUGGUGUACCAGUUGUUCUGCCAAGGGCAUGGCUGGGUAGCUAUGUACGGAAUGGAUAAGCGCUGAAAGCAUCUAAGCGCGAAGCCAACUUCAAGAUAAGAUUUCCCACCGCAAGGGUAAGACCCCAGAAAGACUAUCUGGUUGAUAGGUCGAAGGUGUAAGUGCAGCAAUGUAUUUAGCUUAUCGAUACUAAUAGGUCGAGGACUUGACCAAU